UGUUGUGUUGAAGAUGAUGAUGAGGAGGAAAAAGAAGAAGAAGAAAAAGAAGCAAAAGGGUUAGAUCUUAAAACCCUAAACCCUUCAACCUGCUUGCUUUUAUAUUUAUAUGUAUAUAUAUAUAGAUGUAUAUGUAUGUUUCAGAAUAACAGCUUAAGCAAACAGAGCCUUAAGAUAAAUGGUGGUUUAUUGUUACGAAAAAUGGAAAUCAACGGCAAAAAGAGAGAGGGCAACCACCAUUAAAGACUCCCCAAAUACCUCUCUCUUUGCCUCAUUCUUUCCGUCUAGACUUCAUGAGAAUUUCUUUUCAGCACAAUUAGGUUAUUUUAUAGUACCCUAUUGUGUGUCCCCGUUUUACGUUUGUGUCCUUGUAUUUACUCGCUAUUUCCAAAAAUUGUACGAGAAAAUGACAGAAAUGGUUACUUAUUUUUAGUAUAUCAUAUAAAGCAGUUUGGUCCUUUUAAGUGAGUAUUUUUUAUCUCUGUUAAAUAAUUAUCAAAUUUUAAUUAUUUUAUUUAAUCAGAAUUAUG